CUGUAGCCCCUUGAGAGCAGAUGCCACGUUGACAUUUACAUCCCUAACGAUCAACACCACUGUUUCUGUAUAACUGGCAUUCGAUUAAAGAUGGGCUUCAGAAGGUCCACAGAGGAUAGUACGAGUUUCCAUAAGGAGUAGAAAACACUGUCGUAAUCAAAGAAGGAAACGAUAACUGUGAUUUCUGAAGAUGCUGAAGAAGUCAAACGUUAGAAUCCUGCGCAUUUUGCUUCGGCUUCAUCUUUCUUCAGAAUACAGCUGGAUCUGCCCCCGGAAGGUGAGGGUCAGGUGAGCUGCAGGUCCACAGGGGUCAGGACAAUGCGCUUUGAUGUGUGGCCUCCGACCCCCAGGACAGAACAGUGCAGAAGGCAGCCAUCAGAGGACAGCGUGGAGGGUUGGUUAGUCUCCCCGGGACUCAGGGGUGUGACACAUUACAGUGCCUGCUGUCGCUUUGGACCUUUGGGGGUGCGUCCUUGACCGUGCAAAGAGGAUGAAAACUAGAAGCUCCCCACAUCCUAAUCUCCUUACCGGCUCCGUUUUCUCUCCUUUGAUGGCACCUCCAUUUCCACAUCCCUCCCCCCUUCUCUAUGGCCCCCACCUGUGUCAUCCAGCCGGCUCCGGGCCCACCGGUCUGCUUCCACUCACACCAACAUCUCGUGUCCCUCACUGACAAUGCCAGAGGGUCACACAGAGAGAGUGACCACGAUUCCACCCACCGCAGAGAUUUGUGAGACCCACAAAAACAUCAGAAUUGUAUUCAGGAGACCGUGUGGUUUGAAUCUCUCUCUCUUGCCCUGCCAAGCUGUGUGGGCUUGAAAAGGUAUCUUCACUUCUCUGAAUUUUAGUUUCUUCACCUGUAAGCAGCCUGCCGCCUAAUCGUGAGAAUGACUUGAGUCUAGUAGCUGCAGUACUCAUGAGAGCUACACAACAAACACCGCAAGCUUCGCGACUUGAAACAACGCCCACCUGUGAUAUCGCGGUUCUGUUGGUCCGAAGUCUGAGUGGGCUGAGGCGGGAUCUCUGCGGAGGGGCUCAUACAAGGCCACAAUCAAGACGCCGGCUACGCUGAGCUCUUAAUUGGAGGUCCUGGGGGAGAAUCUCCUUUCAAGCUCAUCCAGAUUGUUGGCAGAAUUAAUUUCUCUGUAGCUGUGGGGCUGAGGUCCCCGUGGCUUUUGUCAGCUGGGAGCCACUCUCUGUUGCUGGGGAGCGCCCACCUUCCUUGUCACAUGCUCCUCCCCCCCCACCCCGCCACCAAAAGCUUCAAGCCAGCGACAGCCGGCCCAGUCCUCCUCGGGCUUUGAACCUCUCCGACUUCCCCUUCUGCUUCCAGCUGGAGAAAACCCUCUGCUUUCAAAAGACUCGUGGAGAUUGGAGACAAUGGUGCGUGUAAAUCGCUUAGAACGGUGCCUUGGCAUUUAGUAAAUCAAGGUUGACUUCAGGACAAAAACAGCCCAGGAUACCUAGAAGGUUCUGAAUCGGCUUUUAUGGAAUAAAUGAGUGCAUGAAUGGUUGCAGGAAUGAAUGAGCAAAUGGGGGGGAAGAAAAAAUCAGCUGUGAAGUUUAGUUCCUAUUUUGGAGGGCGGAGGCAGUCAGUGAGGGACAUCUCCAACAGCGAGGGGACGUUCUGAUAUGAAUUCCAUCAAUCCACACAAAGUGAGGAUUCAGUUAAUACAGCUACUA